GAGAGCAUCUUUAACUCUCCAGGGAUUACUAAAAUAUCAAGAUACAACUCAAGUCGUUUUUGUGUCCUGCCAGACAUAUCAAUAUACUGCAUCUAUUUUAAAUUUUCACCAAUGACCUCGGAACAAGCCGUUUUUCAUACCUCAAGGUCAUCUUUCAUUUUAUUCUCUGGAGAAAUAUAUACCUUGGACUUUUGGUCCAAAAAUAUCUCAUUUUUCUAACGAGCUUUACAUCGAAUUGAUGGCCAAUCAAUUCACUCUACCCUCAUACAUAGAGGUAGAUUCAUAAUCCUUAUUUAUAUAGCGAUUUUUUUCAUUUUCUUGUCGACAAUCUAUUUUCUCUUUGGUUUCCAUCUUUUUAUCCGUACUGAUAUGGUUAAUCGAGAUCUUUUUAUCAUCAUCAAUGAUUUACCCAGGUACCUGACUAUUAUAUUAACCAUAUCAACGGCCU
rnacentral:lncRNA from 1 species